AUGGAUGAUGUAGAGGUCUCACUCUUCCGCACUACUCGCUCGAUGACGCGCAGCUCGUCACUCCCGCCGCCCGUCAGGCGCGCCACUGGCGCCGUGGUCAGUGGCGUCUUCGGCGGCGAUUUCGUCCCACCCUUGCUCUGCCCUUUCUCAGAAUCGGUGUCUGACAUGAAGCUAACUACCUCCCGGUCGCGCUGCCAUGAUCCGCAACUGCCGCUCUGUCCAGCUACUGCGUCUCAUAGCUCAAGCCAACGACCGGGAGAGAAAAAAGGAAAGGAGUGGCGCGCGCUAAGUGCGGCCCUCCACUACAUGUGUGCGUGCGCAGGCUAUCUAGCGCAUCACUAUCGGUUCAUGGCAGCUCAAUCGUUGAUCUGGCAUAGUGGCAUGGCACUUGUUGAGCUGCUAUUGCUUAGUUCGGCCGUGAUCAGCAAAUUAAUCAAAGGCUAUCCAUCCGCGAAGGGCAAAACACCACAACUUGUGGUUACUUGUAUCCACCCGUGCUCUCAAGCCCCCAAACUUAUGAUAGACCACGCACCCAUUGUCAACGAGAUGUCUGCAGUUACUUCACCGCCCCAUAAUAAACCAUCAUUGCUAGGUCCAAACCAUGCGUCAUUGCUGGCAGUGGACAAGCACGGUUAUCACCGGUUCUGCGCUAAAUCAGCAGUGAUAAUGAGCAAGCGGAGGCCAGCAUUGAUGUCGCGAUGUGACCGGAGGGAGGCUGGCGCUGACCAAUGCGACCUCUCGGGAGCCGCCGCUUCAAUGCGGACGCAGGUUCUCGAGGAACAACUUUGGCCGCUACGCAACAUUGUAGCGGCUAACAGGCCCUUCGCAUGGCCUGGCCGCGACUUUAUAAGCCACGCUCCGGCGAUGGGCAAGUCCACAUCACAUCCUUGUCCUCCUCCCCCUUCCCUCCCAUCUCCCUCCACAUCUCUAGUGAUGGGUAAAAGUCUUGGGCAUCGGUGCUGGCAGGCGGUUCCAGAGAGGGAUCGUGGCGACGGCGCGCUCGAACUUCGGAGCCAUCGUCCUCACUGGUGGGUGGCUCCUCGACGAAGGUGGAGAUCGUCAUCAUCUCCGGCAACGAGGAGGACCAGCUGUUGCCGCUGCAACAGUCCGCGUCGGUGCUGCCGGGCCAGGUCUACGCCGCCACCGAUGCAGAGUUCGAGGAGCAGAUGGAGCAGAUGGUUCGUCGCUCUGUCGUCCACGUCAACGGCCCAGAUCCGCCAUCGGGGCACUCCUCCCCGUGAAGCCGAAGUCGGCAUCCCCUGCACACUCUACGUCACGGUGCAACCGCGCGUCCAACUCGGACGGUGCUUUAAGGAGGAGCGGUUGUCGCCACCGCCCCGACCGUACCUUGGUAGCGGUGGGGCUGGCGGCAGCUUCUCCUCGUCGUCUCGGAGCGCCAUGAUGCCGCGGAAGUACGCUGACGGGGGCAGCGCCGACGAGACAGGCGCAACGCCGCGCGUCGGUCAAACCCACGCUCUCGGUGGCCAUGGCUGCACUGCGCACGAUGCAAGAGGAAGCAGAGAUGAUCACCCGCUAGCGUCAGCAACUGACGGGAAGCCCUUCCGCAACGUCAUCACACCUUCCGUCACCCGAAGCCCUACUCCGACAACUCCGACGCCAGAUCGGGCCACGAUGAUGGAGGAGGAGCUGCCGGCCAGCCCGACAUGGCCUACGAGGUCUCCGUCAACUGGGCAGUCCGUCUUCCAUGGCACAACAGCUAGCUUCUUCUUCCCCGGAAGAAAGAAAGAAGCCCUCCUCUCUCCAUCGGUACAACAAGAUAUACUGUAUGAUGCAUGCCUGCAUGGUGACAGUAUAUUUGCAUACACAUAUAUCGAGAUGCUGCCUCCAACGGCAAAGGAUAUAAGCUUCGGAUCAGCAUUCGCUAAUGGUGGCACUGCUAAUGGUGGCACUGCUACUGGUGGCAAUGGUUCCGGUUCUCAGGAUGCGUCAAGCGGCAAGCCGCAGCAGGAGCUGCCAGCGCUGACACAUCAGUAUGCGGAACAAUACGUGUAUGCAUACCCAGCAGCACCGGCAUACGGCGGCCCUCCAAAGCCCCCGCCGGCGUAUCGCUAUGGCUAUGGCUAUGGUGGAGGUGGUUCUGGUGGGUACGGCUACCCCGAGCCCGAUGCUGGUGCUGGUGGCUAUAGCUACCACGGCGGUGGCGGCUGUGGCUAUCCUCCGACUGCAGGAGGAGGAGGCGGCGGCGGUCAUGGGGUCAGCAACGAAUACGGAGGGCCGCCGCAGCAGAAGCCGCACAUGAGUGCGGGGUGGCUAGCCGCCGGAGCUGCUACCGCCUAUGGAGCGUACCAGCACCACAUGCGCAAACACCACGGAGGAGGAGGGCACGGGUACAGGCAUGGGCACGGAGGAUACGACGACGGCUCUACUUGUGGCGGCGACGGUUACGGUUAUGGCUGCCGUGGUUGUGCCCCCCAUAUGCAUAUGCGAGGCGAGUUCGAGCACCAAGAGCACACCAAUAUCAAAUACUCUGUUCAUCCCGACGCCAGCCAACAAGCGGGGUUUAAUAUGGACGAACUCCAAGCUCAUCACUGUACGACCCGUCAAAAGCCCGUCAAAAGCAAUGAUGAUGGAGAAUCAAAAACCCGUCAAAAGCCCGUCACUAAUAUGUUUGUGACGGAAACCAAAAGCAGGGAAGCGAACGGGGUCGGUGAAAAGCUUUUUCUCCUCCCAGAUCCGCUGAGAAACCCCAUGCUCCACUUGCUUCUUCGGCCGUCUACUUCAUCGACGGCGCCCGUUUCUUCCAACUCCAUUCCCCCCAACCGAGGAUGGAGGCGCGAUGUGGCGAGCCGAGGGAGAUUCGGCCAUCACUCUGCCAAAAAAAUAUAA
rnacentral:rRNA from 1 species